GGUUUGAUCCUGGCUCAGAUUGAACGCUGGCGGGAUGCUUUACACAUGCAAGUCGAGCAGCACGGACUUCGGUCUGGUGGCGAGUGGCGAACGGGUGAGUAAUGUAUCGGAACGUGCCUAGUAGCGGGGGAUAACUACGCGAAAGCGUAGCUAAUACCCGCAUACGCCCUUCGGGGGAAAGCGGGGGACCUUCGGGCCUCGCACUAUUAGAGCGGCCGAUAUCGGAUUAGCUAGUUGGUGGGGUAACGGCUCACCAAGGCGACGAUCCGUAGCUAGUUUGAGAGGACGACCAGCCACACUGGGACUGAGACACGGCCCAGACUCCUACGGGAGGCAGCAGUGGGGAAUUUUGGACAAUGGAAACCUGAUCCAGCCAUCCCGCGUGUGCGAUAAGCCUUCAGGUUGUAAAGCACUUUUGGCAGGAAAGAAACGGCACGGGAUAAUACCCCGUGCAACUGACAGUACCUGCAGAAUAAGCACCGGCUAACUACGUUGGCAACCCGCGGUAAUACGUAGGGUGCAAGCGUUAAUCGGAGUUACUGGGCGUAAAGCGUGCGCAGGCGGUUCGGAAGAAGAUGUGAAAUCCCGGAAACGCUUUGGAACUGCAUUUUAACUACCGAGCUAGAGUGUGUCAGAGGGAGGUGGAAUUCCGCGUGUAGCAGUGAAAUGCGUAGAUAUGCGGAGGAACACCGAUGGCGAAGGCAGCCUCCUGGGAUAACACUGACGCUCAUGCACGAAAGCGUGGGAGCAAACAGGAUUAGAUACACCUGGUAGUCCACGCCCUAAACGAUGUCAACUAGCUGUUGGGGCCUUCGGGCCUUGGUAGCGCAGCUAACGCGUGAAGUUGACCGCCUGCCGGGAAGUACGGUCGCAAGAUUAAAACUCAAAGGAAUUGACGGGGACCCGCACAAGCGGUGGAUGAUGUGGAUUAAUUCGAUGCAACGCGAAAACCUUACCUACCCUUGACAUGUCUGGAAUCCCGAAGAGAUUUAGGGGUGCUCGCAAGAGAACCGGAACACAGGUGCUGCAUGGCUGUCGUCAAAGCUCGUGUCUGAGAUGUUGGGUUAAGUCCCGCAACGAGCGCAACCCUUGUCAUUAGUUGCUACGAAAGAGGGCACUCUAAUGAGACUGCCGGUGACAAACCGGAGGAAGGUGAGGAUGACGUCAGAGUCCUCAUGACCCUUAUGGGUAGGGCUUCACACGUCAUACAAUGGUCGGGACAGAGGGUCGCCAACCCGCGAGGGGGAGCCAAUCCCAGAAACCCGAUCGUAGUCCGGAUCGCAGUCUGCAACUCGACUGCGUGAAGUCGGAAUCGCUAUUAAUCGCGGAUCAGCAUGUCGCGGUGAAUGCGUUCAGGUCUUGUACACACCGCCCGUCACACCAUGGGAGUGGGUUUUACCGGUAAGUUAGCCUAACCGUAAGGAGGGCGAUUACCACGGUAGGAUUCAUGGCUGAGUUGUGAAGUCGUAACAAGGUAG
rnacentral:rRNA from 1 species